rnacentral:hammerhead_ribozyme from 1 species
GUUCAACUGAUGAGUCCCAAAUACGACGAAACACGCGUCCUGGAU